UACGGUAGGGCGCAAGCGUUGUCCGGAAUUAUUGGGCGUAAAGAGCUCGUAGGCGGCUUGUCACGUCGGUUGUGAAAGCCCGGGGCUUAACCCCGGGUCUGCAUUCGAUACGGGCAGGCUAGAGUGUGGUAGGGGAGAUCGGAAUUCCUGGUGUAGCGGUGAAAUGCGCAGAUAUCAGGAGGAACACCGGUGGCGAAGGCGGAUCUCUGGGCCAUUACUGACGCUGAGGCACGAAAGCGUGGGGAGCAAACAGG
rnacentral:rRNA from 1 species